CAGAGGAAUUCUCUUGCUUUGGCUCUCCUGGCUAUGUGGGAUGUGUCAGAUUUCAGAGAUGAUAUUUCUGAACAAAUAAGACGUGUGGGGAGAACAAUGCGAGUGUAUCAGAAAAAAAAGUUUCCCUGAAGACCCAGAACAUAGUGAACACACAAGUCUGCUUUCCUCAUCGUCACAAGAUGCAGUUUCUGCAGGUUCAAAGCCAUGCUCAGCCGUGGGCCAAUAUCAGGCCUUUGCACGCACGAUUACUUCACAGAAUGCAGCUGCUGCAUCCAAGUUAUGUGAAGACAUUGUCAUUGAUGUCCCAGAAGAGCAGGAACCUCCUGAUACAAGCCAACAUCAAGACUUGGAAGACACAGUUGCUUCACAGGAUACACUUUCUGAGGCCAAGCUAUCUGAAGAUGUCAUGACUGAUAUCCCAGAAGAGCAGAAGGAGCCCCCAACCCAUCAAUGGAUUCUUAAAGCCCUUAGAGCCAAUCCUUAUCCCGAAGUUACGGAUCCGGCUUGCCGACUUCCCUUACCUACAUUGUUCCAACAUGCCAGAGGCUGUUCACCUUGGAGACCUGCUGCGGAUAUGGGUACGGCCCGGCGCGAGAUUUACACCCUCUCCCCCGGAUUUUCAAGGGCCAGCGAGAGCUCACCGGACGCCGCCGGAACCGCGACGCUUUCCAAGGCAC